rnacentral:rRNA from 1 species
CCUACGGGGGGCAGCAGUGGGGAAUAUUGGACAAUGGGGGGAACCCUGAUCCAGCCAUGCCGCGUGUGUGAAGAAGGCCCUCGGGUUGUAAAGCACUUUCAGUGAGGAAGAACGCCUGGUGGUUAAUACCCAUCAGGAAAGACAUCACUCACAGAAGAAGCACCGGCUAACUCCGUGCCAGCAGCCGCGGUAAUACGGAGGGUGCGAGCGUUAAUCGGAAUUACUGGGCGUAAAGCGCGCGUAGGUGGCUUGAUAAGCCGGUUGUGAAAGCCCCGGGCUCAACCUGGGGACGGCAUCCGGAACUGUCAAGCUAGAGUGCAGGAGAGGAAGGUAGAAUUCCCGGUGUAGCGGUGAAAUGCGUAGAGAUCGGGAGGAAUACCAGUGGCGAAGGCGGCCUUCUGGACUGACACUGACACUGAGGUGCGAAAGCGUGGGUAGCAAACAGGAUUAGAUACCCUAGUAGUC